rnacentral:rRNA from 1 species
CUAUCCUACUUGGAUAACUGUGGUAAUUCUAGAGCUAAUACAUGCACAAUAGCCCCGACCUUACGGAAGGGGUGCUUUUAUUAGAUCAAGACCAAUCGGACUUCGGUCCGUUUCUUGGUGACUCUGAAUAACUUUGUGCCGAUCGCAUGGUCUAGCACCGGCGACGCAUCUUUCAAAUGUCUGCCUUAUCAACUGUCGAUGGUAGGUUAUGCGCCUACCAUGGUUGCAACGGGUAACGGGGAAUCGGGGUUCGAUUCCGGAGAGGGAGCCUGAGAAACGGCUACCACAUCCAAGGAAGGCAGCAGGCGCGCAAAUUACCCACUCCCGGCACGGGGAGGUAGUGACGAAAAAUAACGAUGCAGGACUCAUCCGAGGCCCUGUGAUUGGAAUGAGUACACUUUAAAUCCUUUAACGAGGACCUAUUGGAGGGCAAGUCUGGUGCCAGCAGCCGCGGUAACUCCAGCUCCAAUAGCGUAUAUUAAAGUUGCUGCGGUUAAAAAGCUCGUAGUUGGAUAUCGGUCGCGAUCAGGUGGUGCCGCCUCGCGGUGUGCACUGCCUCGAUUGGACAAUCCACCGGACUGUCCGGGGUGCUCUUAACCGAGUGUCCUGGGUGGCCGGUACGUUUACUUUGAACAAAUUAGAGUGCUUAAAGCAGGUGCUCCGCGCCUGAAUAUCACAGCAUGGAAUGAUGGAAUAGGACCUCGGUCUUAUUUUGUUGGUUUUCUGGACUUGAGGUAAUGGUUAAUAGAGACAGACGGGGGCAUUCGUACUGCGACGCUAGAGGUGAAAUUCUUGGACCGUCGCAAGACGAACAACUGCGAAAGCAUUUGCCAAGAAUGUUUUCAUUAAUCAAGAACGAAAGUUAGAGGUUCGAAGGCGAUCAGAUACCGCCCUAGUUCUAACCAUAAACGAUGCCAACCAGCGAUCCGCAGACGUUACUUCAAUGACUCUGCGGGCAGCUUCCGGGAAACCAAAGUUUUUGGGUUCCGGGGGAAGUAUGGUUGCAAAGCUGAAACUUAAAGGAAUUGACGGAAGGGCACCACCAGGAGUGGAGCCUGCGGCUUAAUUUGACUCAACACGGGAAACCUCACCAGGCCCGGACACUGGAAGGAUUGACAGAUUGAGAGCUCUUUCUUGAUUCGGUGGGUGGUGGUGCAUGGCCGUUCUUAGUUGGUGGAGCGAUUUGUCUGGUUAAUUCCGAUAACGAACGAGACUCUAGCCUGCUAAAUAGAUGACGUAUCUUCGGGUACGUUACUCUUCUUAGAGGGACAAGUGGCGUCUAGCCAUAUGAAAGUGAGCAAUAACAGGUCUGUGAUGCCCUUAGAUGUCCUGGGCCGCACGCGCGCUACACUGAAAGAAUCAGCGCGUCUUCCCUGUCCGAGAGGACCGGGUAACCGCUGAACCUCUUU